rnacentral:rRNA from 1 species
GAUGAACGCUGGCGGCGUGCCUAAUACAUGCCAGUCGAGCGAACGGACGAGAAGCUUGCUUCUCUGAUGUUAGCGGCGGACGGGUGAGUAACACGUGGAUAACCUACCUAUAAGACUGGGAUAACUUCGGGAAACCGGAGCUAAUACCGGAUAAUAUUUUGAACCGCAUGGUUCAAAAGUGAAAGACGGUCUUGCUGUCACUUAUAGAUGGAUCCGCGCUGCAUUAGCUAGUUGGUAAGGUAACGGCUUACCAAGGCAACGAUGCACAGCCGACCUGAGAGGGUGAUCGGCAACACUGGAACUGAGACACGGUCCAGACUCCUACGGGAGGCAGCAGUAGGGAAUCUUCCGCAAUGGGCGAAAGCCUGACGGAGCAACGCCGCGUGAGUGAUGAAGGUCUUCGGAUCGUAAAACUCUGUUAUUAGGGAAGAACAUAUGUGUAAGUAACUGUGCACAUCUUGACGGUACCUAAUCAGAAAGCCACGGCUAACUACGUG